CUGUAGAUCCAGACUUAGAACUCUCAGCUCCUUCUCCAGCACCAUGUCUGCUUGCAUACUGCCUUGCCUCCUGCCAUGACGACAAGGGAUUAAACGUCUGAAACUAUAAGUGUAGAUCUUGCUUCUCAUCCAAGAAGCUUCCUUUGGGUGAAGAACCAGACCAUUAUGGAAAGCCACAGCUAAUCUAAAUGCAGAGAAUAACUGAGUACAGAUACCCAGCCCCGACUGAUACAACAUAAUUGCUGCACCAAAGACUCAGGACAUCACUGAAGAGAGGACAGAAAGGCUGUAAGAGCCAGAGGACCAGAAAGUCUGCUGUGAGAUUGUGCCUUCUUGCAAUGACAGAGAGCUCCACCCAUGAAAUCUCAACCCUGUGGCUGCCUAAAGUAGACCUGACAAUUCCAACAACAGCUGACAUGUCAACAUACCAACAUGUCAACAACAGUCGACAGUUACCAACAUAAACAGGACAAUGUUGAG